rnacentral:rRNA from 1 species
GAUGAACGCUGGCGGCGUGCCUAAUACAUGCAAGUCGAGCGAACAGACGAGGAGCUUGCUCCUCUGACGUUAGCGGCGGACGGGUGAGUAACACGUGGAUAACCUACCUAUAAGACUGGGAUAACUUCGGGAAACCGGAGCUAAUACCGGAUAACAUGUUGAACCGCAUGGUUCAACAGUGAAAGACGGUCUUGCUGUCACUUAUAGAUGGAUCAGCGCCGCACUAGCUAGUUGGUAAGGUAACGGCUUACCAAGGCAACGAUGCGUAGCCGACCUGAGAGGGUGAUCGGCCACACUGGAACUGAGACACGGUCCAGACUCCUACGGGAGGCAGCAGUAGGGAAUCUUCCGCAAUGGGCGAAAGCCUGACGGAGCAACGCCGCGUGAGUGAAGAAGGUCUUCGGAUCGUAAAACUCUGUUAUUAGGGAAGAACAAAUGUGUAAGUAACUAUGCACGUCCUGACGGUACCUAAUCAGAAAGCCACGGCUAACUACGUG